rnacentral:rRNA from 1 species
UAAAUCGAUUUAGUUUGAAUAGAAAAAUUUAUUGAAAAUUAAUUUUUAAUUGAUUUUUUUUAAUAAAAAUAUUUUUUCUUUUUUUUAUAGUUAUAGAUAAAAUUUGAAUUUUAUAAUAGAUAAAUAGGUAUAGAGAUAGAAUAUUGAAAUAUAUGAAAAAUUUAAAUUUUAUAAAGAAGAUUUUAUUUAUUGUACCUUGUGUAUCAGGGUUUAUUAAAUAAUAAUUAUUUUGAUUUAAUUUUCUCGAAUUUAAAAGAGCUAAGUAAUUAUCUAUUUUAUUGUAACAUAAAUAUUUAAAAUAAUUAUUUAGAAAUGAAAUGUUAGUCGUUUUUAAAUAUAUCUAGUUUUUUAAGAAAUAAAUUUAAUUUAGUUAUUUAUUGAAUUGUAAUAAUUGAGGUAAUUUUUAUAUUAAUAUUAAAUAAAUAAUUAAUAUUUUAAGGGAUAAGCUUUAAAAUAAAAGAUUAAUAAAUAAAUUUUUUUAUGGGAUUAUUAAAAAUUAUAGAAGUGGAAGUAUUUUUUUAUAAUUGUGUUUUAUAACAAAUUUUAGUAAUAUUAUAAUUUAUAUAAUAUUUUUAAUAUUUUAUUAAAAUGAUUAAUUUAAUAGUAUAGUUAAUGUAAUAAUGAUAAAAUUAGUAUAAAUUAAUUGUUAUAAAAUUAUUAAUUAUUAAGGUUAAGUUAAGGAAUUCGGCAAAUAAUUUUUCCGCCUGUUUAUUAAAAACAUGUCUUUUUGAAAAUAAUUUAAAGUCUGACCUGCCCUAUGAUAGUAAAAUAUUAAAUGGCCGCGAUAUUUUGAUCGUGCAAAGGUAGCAUAAUCAUUAGUUUCUUAAUUAGGAACUGGAAUGAAAGGUCGAACGAGAAAAAUUCUGUCUCAAUUUAAUUUAAUUAGAAUUUUAUUUUUAAGUAAAAAAGCUUAAAUAAAUUUAAAAGACGAGAAGACCCUAUAGAGUUUUAUAUUUAUGAUUUUUAAGAGGAGGAAUAAGAAUAAUUCUUUUUUAUUAAUUUUAAGUAUUUAGUUGGGGUGACUAAAAAAUUUAAAUAACUUUUUUUAAUAAAGGUAACAUUGAUAUAUGAAUAAUUGAUCCAUAUUUUAUGAUUAAAAGAUUAAAUUACCUUAGGGAUAACAGCGUUAUUUUUUUUGAGAGUUCUUAUCGAAAAAAAAGUUUGCGACCUCGAUGUUGGAUUAAAAUUUACUUUUGGUGUAGGUGCUAAAAAGAUUAGGUCUGUUCGACCUUUAAAAUUUUACAUGAUCUGAGUUUAAACCGGCGUAAGCCAGGUUGGUUUCUAUCUUUAAAAAUUUAUAAUAUUUUAGUACGAAAGGAUUAAAUAUUUUUAAUAAUUGAUAUAUUUUGAAUAUUAUUAAUUUAGUUUUAAUUACUUUGGCAGAAUAGUGCUU